rnacentral:rRNA from 1 species
UACGGAAGGCAGCAGUGGGGAAUAUUGCACAAUGGGCGCAAGCCUGAUGCAGCCAUGCCGCGUGUAUGAAGAAGGCCUUCGGGUUGUAAAGUACUUUCAGUCGUGAGGAAGGUGUUAAGGUUAAUAACCUUAGCAAUUGACGUUAGCGACAGAAGAAGCACCGGCUAACUCCGUGCCAGCAGCCGCGGUAAUACGGGAGGGUGCGAGCGUUAAUCGGAAUUACUGGGCGUAAAGGGCACGCAGGCGGUUAAUUAAGUUGGAUGUGAAAUCCCCGGGCUUAACCUGGGAAUGGCAUUCAAGACUGGUUAGCUAGAGUCUUGUAGAGGGGGUAGAAUUCCAUGUGUAGCGGUGAAAUGCGUAGAGAUGUGGAGGAAUACCGGUGGCGAAGGCGGCCCCUGGGACAAAGGCUGACGCUCAUGUGCGAAAGCGUGGGGAGCAAACAGGAUUAGAUACC